AACGAACGCUGGCGGCGUGGAUAAGACAUGCAAGUCGAACGCUGAUUACAGGGUAGCAAUAUUCUGAAGUCGGAGUGGCGCAAGGGUGUGUAACACGUGGGCAAUUUGCCGCGAAGUUCGGAAUAACUCGCUGAAAGGCGAGCUAAUACCGAAUGUGACUGCCGAGGGGUAUCCCUUGGCAUUUAAAGGUGGGGACCGCAAGGCCUGCCGCUUCACGAUAAGCCCGCGGCCUAUCAGCUAGUUGGCGGGGUAACGGCCCACCAAGGCUAAGACGUGUAGCUGGUCUGAGAGGACGACCAGCCACACUGGAACUGAGACACGGUCCAGACACCUACGGGUGGCAGCAGUCGAGAAUUUUUCACAAUGGGCGAAAGCCUGAUGGAGCGACGCCGCGUGGGGGAUGAAUGGCUUCGGCCCGUAAACCCCUGUCAUUUGCGAUCAAACCCUGUAAUUUAAUAAAUUACGGACUGAUAGUAGCGGAAGAGGAAGGGACGGCUAACUCUGUGCCAGCAGCCGCGGUAAUACAGAGGUCCCAAGCGUUGUUCGGAUUCACUGGGCGUAAAGGGUGCGUAGGUGGCGCGGUAAGUCUGACGUGAAAUCUCCGAGCUUAACUCGGAAACUGCGUCGGAUACUGCCGGGCUUGAGGGUUGGAGGGGAGACUGGAAUACUUGGUGUAGCAGUGAAAUGCGUAGAUAUCAAGUGGAACACCAGUGGCGAAGGCGAGUCUCUGGACAAAUUUCCUGACACUGAUGCACGAAAGCUAGGGGAGCAAACAGGAUUAGAUACCCUGGUAGUCUUAGCUGUAAACGGUGCACGUUUGCUGUAAAUGGAAUCGACCCCAUUUGUGGCGAAGCUAACGCGUUAAACGUGCCGCCUGGGAAGUACGGUCGCAAGAUUAAAACUCAAAGAAAUUGACGGGGGCCUGCACAAGCGGUGGAGUAUGUGGCUUAAUUCGAUGCAACGCGAAGAACCUUACCUGGCCUUGACAUGUGUUUAGUAGAAGGGUGAAAGCCUGACGAGAUAGUAAUAUCAGGACACACAGGUGCUGCAUGGCUGUCGUCAGCUCGUGUCGUGAGAUGUUGGGUUAAGUCCCGCAACGAGCGCAACCCCUGUGUUUAGUUGCAAUCGGCCUUUAUGGUCCGAGCACUCUGAACAGACUGCCUCAUUUAAAUGAGGAGGAAGGUGGGGACGACGUCAAGUCAGUAUGGCCCUUACGGCCAGGGCUGCACACGUACUACAAUGCCCAGCACAGUAGGAAGCAAAACUGCAAGGUGGAGCAAAUCCUAAAAACUGGGCCCAGUUCAGAUUGUCGUCUGCAACUCGACGGCAUGAAGCUGGAAUCGCUAGUAAUGGCGCAUCAGUUACGGCGCCGUGAAUACGUUCCCAGGCCUUGUACACACCGCCCGUCACAUCAUGAAAGCCGGUUGUACCCGAAGUCGGCAAAUAUUGCCGCCUAAGGUAUGGCUGGUGAUUGGGAUG
rnacentral:rRNA from 1 species